GCUGAAACAGAGAAAGACAAAGAGAGACGGUGAGCAGAGGAAGGACACGCUUCCAAAAACACACGCUGAGAGGGAAGAGGAAGAGGAGGAGUGUGCCGGGGAAAGUGGAGGAAAACAGCUGUUAAAAAGUGCAAAGCUUGUUCAAGUGUCAUAAGAGCAGUUUUCAGGGAGGGGCAGAGCUGGAGAGGACAGGCACUACAGUGGCAGCAGAGGACAGGAGGAAAAGGACAGAGGUUAGUAACCUAGAAAAAGUGCAGGCGUUAGGCAGCUUUGUUUCUUUCAUUCCACGCAGCGUACCAAUCUUACCUCAUAAACCUGCCACAUGAAGCGAAGCAAAGGAAGACAGAGAGACAAAACAGCACAUGUUCAUAUGGGUUUGGGUGUGUUAAUGUUGUUAUGGUGGGGCAGAGAUUAAACUAGAGGCCCCUACAGGGCUAAGGAUGAUUUUAUUUGACCUCCAGGCAGCUGCAAGCUAAUGCUACAUCACAGCCAGCCGUGAAACAGGGGGGUCUUUCAUGAUCCAUUAUAUACUCUCCAACACAUACAGCCCCUAUACACGCCACAUCACACACACUGUAUGAGCACCUGCAUGGAGAAGCCUCCUGUGGGGUUUCAUCUAUACAAACUCUGACAGCUGGAAGCACAUCCACACACACAGGAGGGUCGUUUAUUAUCACUGGGACUUAAAGCAGGAAACUCUACACGAGCUCAUGUCUUUUAACAGCUACCACAAAGCAGCACACUGCUUUUCCUUAAAUUCAACAUCAGGAUCAGAUACUGACAACCACAGGCGGCUAAGACAACAUCGUUUCAGUCUACGGAACGACAGAGAGGAAAAAAGUUGCGUACGUCACUGUCUCUGAGUUGUCCUCCGGUGCACAAAAAAGCCUUUCAAGAACAAAAAGCAAAAGUUCAUGUCUUUUUAAGUUGUAAGUGACAGUAUGUAAGAUAUUCUGAUUUAUGAUCACUAGUUAAAAAAAAGCUAAAGAGCGGACAUUAGGCCUAGACACUAGCCAGUAAGCACUGAUCUGGUAAUUUGCAGGCCAAGAGACGACAACUAGAACCAAAUAUAUCCCAGUUUGAACCUAAAUGUCUUUUGACUUACAAAUCACCAAAUCAAUCAUUACUUGGUAUUCAACAGAACUAAGUCUAUGAAAAUCAAGUGUAUUCACCUUUUCACCAGUGAAAGAUGCCUAAAGGGGAGAAACCCAAACAUGUGACACCAACACACACACAUGAAAAUGCACAAAGAGACAAAGACAAACAGCAAACCAUCAUGAGUCCCGGCUGGAUGCUAGAAUUUAAAGUUAUUAUUUUACAUUUCCCAGCAUCUUACCCAGUUCUUCUUGUUCUUCUUCUUGUUUUUUGCGUCUGCAUCCAUGUUGGAGCCGACACUGGAGUGGCUGGUUGCGCUGGUGAUGCUGCUGACGCUGUCAGAGGAAUGCUGCCUCCUGAUGCGCAGGUCUGGCUGCUGAAUCUGCUGCUGUUGCUGCUGUUGACUGCCAUUACUGCCGGCUGAGGAGAGACAGGCUGAAGUGUAAAUGAAAGUGUUGUCUAAAAUAUGUCUCUUAUUAAAUAUCAAAUAUCAAUAGUGUCAGUGCUGUCCACUUUUGACACGAUGGAGGUUUUACUUUGACUACAGAAAAAAAGGCUCCAGAUUUUGGAAUGAGUUCCCUGUUAUUAAAUAGGUGGAGUACAUUAUCCUAUUUAAUGUGCUGUUAACCGCAAAAGACUGCUUACCAACUUUCCCUCCUGACAAGAAGAGCACACAACAAAAAGUGUCCCACACACCAUCUGAAGCUCACAACUGCAACAAUGUAUUGAUAAAGAAAGUUCCUUGUCACAUUGAAAUGUCUGUUUGUUAAUAAAAUGUUCAAGUUGUAGUAGUUCAGACAGAUUGUGGGAUCCUCUUUGUAUGAUGUGUCCUAUAAUGCCUUUUCUCAAAGACUUUUACACAAAAGUGCAGAAGGACAUCUUGUAUGUGUUCAUUUUGACAAGAAUCAUAUUAAUUCUAAUUAAAAAUAUCAACUUUAUUCAUACAUUU